rnacentral:rRNA from 1 species
GAUGAACGCUGGCGGCGUGCCUAAUACAUGCAAGUCGAGCGAACGGACGAGAAGCUUGCUUUUCUGAUGUUAGCGGCGGACGGGUGAGUAACACGUGGAUAACCUACCUAUAAGACUGGGAUAACUUCGGGAAACCGGAGCUAAUACCGGAUAAUAUUUUGAACCGCAUGGUUCAAAAGUGAAAGACGGUCUUGCUGUCACUUAUAGAUGGAUCCGCGCUGCAUUAGCUAGUUGGUAAGGUAACGGCUUACCAAGGCAACGAUGCAUAGCCGACCUGAGAGGGUGAUCGGCCACACUGGAACUGAGACACGGUCCCGACUCCUACGGGAGGCAGCAGUAGGGAAUCUUCCGCAAUGGGCGAAAGCAUGACGGAGCAACGCCGCGUGAGUGAUGAAGGUCUUCGGAUCGUAAAACUCUGUUAUUAGGGAAGAACAUAUGUGUAAGUAACUGUGCACAUCUUGACGGUACCUAAUCAGAAAGCCACGGCUAACUACGUG